AAUGAACGCUGGCGGCAUGCCUAACACAUGCAAGUCGAACGAAGCCUUCGGGCUUAGUGGCGCACGGGUGCGUAACGCGUGGGAAUCUGCCCUUGGGUUCGGAAUAACAGUUAGAAAUGACUGCUAAUACCGAAUGAUGUCGUAAGACCAAAGAUUUAUCGCCCAGGGAUGAGCCCGCGUAGGAUUAGCUAGUUGGUGUGGUAAAGGCGCACCAAGGCGACGAUCCUUAGCUGGUCUGAGAGGAUGAUCAGCCACACUGGGACUGAGACA
rnacentral:rRNA from 1 species